GGCGCCUCCUUCAUGCCUGGCUCGCCGCGGGCGCUCGGCAAACGUGGAGGCGAUUUGUGCCCAGAGAACUGCUUUCCACACUUCCGUCUCUGGACGUAGCCCGUACCCUACAAGAAUUCGGCAGUUUUGGAGGUUUCUACUGAUACAUCCUCAAGCCCAGAGGUUCUUUCCUCAGCUGUGUGCAGUCUGCUAAUGAGCCCAUCAAACACAUUUCUUAUUCAGUUACAGUGAUUUUAAUCUGUAAUAUUUCUUUUUGCUUCUUUCUUAGAAUUUCCAUCUCUCUGCAUACAUCACCCAUCUGUUCUUGCAUGCUGUCUAUUUUAUCCAUUAGAGCCCUUAGCAUAUUAAUCAUAGUUUUAAAUUUUCAGUGUGAUAAUUCCAACAUCCCUGCCAUAUCGGAGCCUGGUUCUGUUGCUUGCUCUGUUUCUUCAAACUGUGUGGGGUUUUUUUUCUUUUAAUAUAUCAUAUAAUUUUUUGUUGAAAGAUGGAGAUGAUGUACUGGAUAAAAGUGCUGUAAAUAUGCCUUUAGUAAUGUGGUGGUAUGGUGUGGAGUGGGAAGAAGUUCUGUAGUCCUGUGAUUAGGUGUCAGUCUUUUAGUGACUGGAUUAUCUUUGCCACUGGAUUAUGAAGUUUGCAUGUUCUUCUCAGUCCCUUCCCCAGUUAUGUGGGACAGGAUGGUUAGAAUGGGCUGGAACUGGAUAUUUUCCUUCUCCCAUGUGGAAGGCUAAAGGAGGCUGGAGUUGUGUAUUUUCCUUCCUUCAUGUGGAAAGCUAGAUCCAGCUGGAGAUGGAUAUUUCCCUUUCCCAAGGUCAAUUAGUCUCUGAUAGACCCCAGCAGGUUAGGCUCUGGUUAAAUAGUUUCAGCUGAGGGCAGAGCUUAUUAAGAAGAACAGAAUGCUCUGGUGUAUUUCAAAAUGGCUCUCUUUCCCCAGCUCCUGCCAGAAGCAGGAAGGGAUUUUUCUCCAGUAUUUACUGUGAGAACCUGAUGAACUCCUGGAGGUAAAACCCACAAAAGUGUGAGUGGGCCCCUCUGGAGUUUUUAACUUUUCAGACUUGCCUGCACCAAGCCUCCAGUGAUUUGUCAAUUACUGUUCAAGUUUUCCUACCCCAGCACCAGUUCCUGUAGAAGUUUUCAGCUCAUGAGUUUCUACUCUGGAUUACACUGAGUUCUUUAGAUGCAGCUGGCCUGCUCCUUCCUGACUGUUGUUUCAGCUUGUGCCUUAACCAGACAGACCAAAGGUGGGGCUGUUUAAUUCCUAUUCAUCCUUCAAUAUUAUAUAUAUUAUAUAUAUACAAUACUAUACUUGAGUACCACUUCCAUAUCCAGCUUAGGUAGCUUGACACCGUAGGCAAGUAGACACCACUUAGGCAGCAAUCACUUCCUCUUCUCCACUCCCAAUGUACCUCCAUAGAGCUGACUGUGGCCCUUCUGAUACUGCUGUAAAAAACCACUUGGUACUGAACUAUUUCAGCGAGUAUAUGAUUAGCUCCUUGAGGCCAGGUGUUCAUCUUUGUAUGCCCAUAGUCACCUGCAAGAGUUCUAAUCAUCAAAUCUUUGGUAAAUAAACGUCCAAAUUAUAAGAUAUGUAUAAACUAGGGGCAAGAAAAUGAGCGUAUAACUGUGUUUUCUGAAAUAAGCAUUAACCAUUUUUUGUUGGAAAAUUCAAUCUCUUAGUUGAAGAAAAAAUUCAAAGCAAACAUUUUAUAAGAACUUUUUCUCAGGAUAAUUUAAAGAACACACUACCAGCCAUGCAUACUCAUAUGCAGUGGUUUAUUCCUUGAAGAUUUUGUGAGGAUUAAAUGAGAUAAUCUUUCUACUGGCCCCUCAGCACAGUGCCUGACACACAACAAUCAUUUAAAAAGUUGGUCUUUAACAUUAUUAUAAUCAUUCAUAGAUCAUGUUCACCCAGGUUCUUCUAAAAUCUACAUUACUGAGUCAACUAUAAUUACUGAGUCAACUAUAUUUAGCACUCUUAGAAAUGGAUGCACUCUUUCAGGCCACGGAAUACAAUACAGUAGCCUGCCAAGGUGGACUGAAAACUUAAGGUCUCAUUAACAUGUGAUAGUGGUUAGUUGGGUCCAUGUUCAUGUGUCAGUACCAAAUUGCCUAUUUAGAAAACUAACAAGCUGGCUUCGUAACACUGAGCAUAGAUGCUGUACUAGAAAUCCUAGGUUCUCAACUAUCAGAAUAAUUUUAAAAAACAAUAUAAAUAAGUUGGCAGUAUUUUAUAUACUUGAAAGUCCAUAAUUUCCACGUGUUUUCAUUCUAGCCUUGUAAACUUAGAGAACACAGUUACAGUUAUACACGGAAAUGAAACAAAUUAACAGGUUAUAUUUCCCUGUCCUGAUUUUGUUAUUGAAGUAAUUUAAUAUUGUAUGA